rnacentral:pre_miRNA from 1 species
AGCCCAUUGCUGGAUUGUAUGGUAAGAGUAUAUUUAGUUUUAUAAUAAACUGCCACACUAUUUUCUAAAAUGGCUGUACCAUUCUGCAUUUUUAUUAGCAAU